GACCAGACUCCUACGGGAGGCAGCAGUGGGGGAUAUUGCACAAUGGGGGGAACCCUGAUGCAGCGACGCCGCGUGGGUGAAGAAGCGCCUCGGCGCGUAAAGCCCUGUCAGCAGGGAAGAAGAUGACGGUACCUGACUAAGAAGCCCCGGCUAACUACGUGCCAGCAGCCGCGGUAAUACGUAGGGGGCAAGCGUUAUCCGGAUUUACGGGGUGUAAAGGGAGCGUAGACGGCGAUGCAAGCCAGAUGUGAAAGCCCGGGGCUCAACCCCGGGACUGCAUUUGGAACUGUGUGGCUGGAGUGUCGGAGAGGCAGGCGGAAUUCCUAGUGUAGCGGUGAAAUGCGUAGAUAUACGGAGGAACACCAGUGGCGAAGGCGGAUUGCUGGACAGUAACUGACGCUGAGGCGCGAAAGCGUGGGGAGCAAACAGGAUUAGAUACCCUGGUA
rnacentral:rRNA from 1 species